rnacentral:rRNA from 1 species
CCACUCCAUUCAGUAUCCUGAGUACGGCGGAACACGAGAAACUCCGUCGGAAUCCGGGAGGACCAUCUCCCAAGGCUAAAUACUCCCUAGUGACCGAUAGUGAACCAGUACCGUGAGGGAAAGGUGAAAAGUACCCCGGAAGGGGAGUGAAAUAGAUCCUGAAACCGUGUGCCUACAAGUAGUCAGAGCCCGUUAAUGGGUGAUGGCGUGCCUUUUGUAGAAUGAACCGGCGAGUUACGUUAACAUGCAAGGUUAAGAUGAAAAGUCGGAGCCGUAGCGAAAGCGAGUCUGAAUAGGGCGCCCUAGUAUGUUGAUGUAGACCCGAAACCAAGUGACCUACCCAUGACCAGGUUGAAGAUGUGGUAAAACGCAUUGGAGGACCGAACUCGUGUAUGUUGAAAAAUGCUGAGAUGAGUUGUGGGUAGCGGUGAAAUUCCAAACGAACUUGGAGAUAGCUGGUUCUCUCCGAAAUAGCUUUAGGGUUAGCCUCGGGGAUUAGGAUCGUGGAGGUAGAGCACUGUUUGGACUAGGGGCCCGUCUUGGGUUACUGAAUUCAGAUAAACUCCGAAUACCAUUGAUCUAUACCCGGGAGUCAGACGAUGAGUGAUAAGAUCCACCGUCGAAAGGGAAACAGCCCAGAUCACCAGUUAAGGUCCCAAAAUUCAUGCUAAGUGGAAAAGGAUGUGGAAACGCAUAGACAACUAGGAUGUUGGCUUAGAAGCAGCCAUUCAUUCAAAGAGUGCGUAAUAGCUCACUAGUCGAGUGAUUCUGCGCCGAAAAUGUACCGGGGCUAAGCAUGAUACCGAAACUGUGGAUGCAUCGUAAGAUGCGUGGUAGGAGAGCGUUGUAAGAGCAUUGAAGCUGUACCGUGAGGAGCAGUGGAGUUCUUAGAAGUGAGAAUGCCGGUAUGAGUAACGAAAGACCAGUGAGAAUCUGGUCGGCCGCAAGACUAAGGUUUCCUGGGGAAGGCUCGUCCUCCCAGGGUUAGUCGGGGCCUAAGAUGAGACCGAAAGGUGUAAUCGAUGGAUAACAGGUUGAUAUUCCUGUACUAGUUUAUUUUGUUUGAACGAUGGAAGGACGCAGGAGGAUGAUGUGUGCACGCUGAUGGAUAUGCGUGUCCAAGCAGUUAGUCUUGAGUUGAGUCAAAUGCUUAACUCUUUAACGAUAAGCUGUGAUGGGGAGUGAAAUUUUAGUAGCGAAGCACAGUAACUCACACUGCCAAGAAAAGUUCCUAGUUAGAAAUAAACUACCCGUACCGCAAACCGACACAGGUAGUCGAGGAGAGUAUCCUAAGGUCAGCGAGUGAACUCUCGUUAAGGAACUCGGCAAAAUGACCCCGUAACUUCGGGAGAAGGGGUGCUGGUGUAACAGCCAGCCGCAGUGAAUAGGCCCAAACAACUGUUUAUCAAAAACACAGGUCUAUGCUAAAUCGUAAGAUGACGUAUAUGGGCUGACGCCUGCCCGGUGCUGGAAGGUUAAGAGGAUCAGUUAGCUUUUGCGAAGCUGAGAAUUGAAGCCCCAGUAAACGGCGGCCGUAACUAUAACGGUCCUAAGGUAGCGAAAUUCCUUGUCGGGUAAGUUCCGACCCGCACGAAAGGCGUAAUGAUUUGGGCACUGUCUCAACGAGAGACUCGGUGAAAUUAUAAUACCCGUGAAGAUGCGGGUUACCCGCGACAGGACGGAAAGACCCCAUGGAGCUUUACUGUAGCUUGAUAUUGAGUUUUUGUGUGACAUGUACAGGAUAGGUAGGAGCCGUUGAUAUCGGAACGCUAGUUUCGAUGGAGGCAUUGGUGGGAUACUACCCUUGUUAUAUGAAAACUCUAACCUACAUCGUUUAUCGCGAUGAGGGACAGUGUCUGGUGGGCAGUUUGACUGGGGCGGUCGCCUCCUAAAAUGUAACGGAGGCGCUCAAAGGUUCGCUCAGAAUGGUUGGAAAUCAUUCGUAGAAUGUAAAGGCAUAAGCGAGCUUGACUGCGAGACUGACAAGUCGAGCAGGGACGAAAGUCGGACUUAGUGAUCCGGUGGU